rnacentral:sRNA from 1 species
AAAAAAAGAAAUGUUUGAACACUUUGUUCCUAUCUGGUAGCAGCUGCUUUGGACAGUUGUGGACCUUUCAUGAGCCAGAGCCUCUAAGGAGGAAGUGGGGCUUGAGGUUUGAAGCCGGGCCCUGCUUCUUCUCUCCCUGAGUGUAUUCCUAGUGUAUCCACCCCCGUCAUGCUCCUGCUGCCAUACUUCCCAUCAUGAGGGUCAUAUCCCUUCUCAAACCAUGAGCUAAGAUAAGCCUUCUUAAGAUCAUUCACCAGGGAUUUUGUCACAUCACACACACUUGACCUAUGGCCUCCUAAAUUGGAAGCAAGAUCUCCCAAAGGUGUGUGUUCUGCUCAAAGCACUACUCACAACAGCCCCGAGGUGGAAGCAGCACAAGAGCUCAUCGAUGGACGGUGAACGACGGUGAACGCAGUUUUUCUGUAUCCACUGUGGACUAACCUUUCCCAGACAGGAAAGACAUUCUGAUGCCCAGUGCAGCAAGGGCAAACCCUGAGAGCAUUGCACUAAGUUGAGUAAAACCCAUCUCUAGAGGACAAGCUCUCGUUUACAUCUAGAGUGGCCAGAUACAUAGGCAGAAUACUAAGUGCUGAUCACCUGGUGUGGCUGGGGGUGGGGAGUUGAAUUUCAAUCUGAGGCCCACUCUGGUAGCCAGUAGCCACAUUUGCCCAACAGCAUACUUACACUCGGGGCCACUGAGCUGUUUGUUCAAUAAUGGUUAAGACGACAAAUUUUAUGUAAUGUGUAAUUCAUCGUAGUUUUAAGAGACAUUGACACCCACUCGUCCCAGGGCAGAACACUUUGCUCCAGUCUGUUGAGGAGUGCCUGCCACCAAAUAGGUUGACUCCAAGGCCAUAUCCUAGAAGUCUGCAUGGCUACAGGGAGGAGCCAAGAUGAGUGCUUCUUGAACUGCUAAGCAAGGCCACAUGCUUCCUCUCCAGGUGCAUUGUCUUCCUCCAAGAAGCCCUCCUUCCUGGUGGAGUCCCUUGUUGAUCCCUACGGACAAAAAUGGAGGACUGGGGAGAGCCGAGCCCUCCUGAGCAGGGCAGGGUAAAAAUCAGUUUUGCUUGUAUUUCUGCAUAUCUAUUGUAUGUUUCUAGGUACUGGGAUGCAGUGACAUCCAAGGCGAGCCUGGAGAAAGCCAUACACAGGGCUGAGAAGAUUGAGAUGGACCUUCAGCACAUGCAGGCCGAGGGCCUUGGCAGGGUAUCUGUAGCAGACAGAGGUUUCUGGAACCCAUGAUGGAACGUGGAGAAGGAGGAAACUAAUGUCACUCCGAUAACUGCCCAGGUUGAAGUCCCCUCCAGUCACCAUUUCACCACUGUGGUGGCCUUUUCAUACACGCCCGGCCAGCUCUCCAGUGAGCACAUCCUCUGAUGGGGUUUCCUAUGCUGAGAUUAAAUGGUGCUCUUUGAUCUGCUUUGGAAAGCUGCUCCGAGGACAGCUUCCUUUGGUGUCAGGAUACCUCCCAACACAUAUGCUUCCUUCAUCACUGGUCUUUUUAUGGAAUGGGCUUCAGCUUUAUUCUAACUAACCGUGGAUGUUUGCCUGAAGGUGGAUUCUUUUCCCUUUUAUUUUACUUGAGGGAUGGGAAGGGGUGAGAAAUAGCUGAUCCACCAUGAUUAUAGAAGAACUUGAGACUCACAGACAGGAGGAUGUGAGCCUCAGCUCUGAGUGACCCUGGGCUUUUGCUUUAUUUCUCUGAGCCUCCAUGCUCUGAAUUAGACCCAUAUUAGGCAUGACAAACAUUUAAGAAACAGCUUUUAAGACCUGUUCAUCAGAAGGAGCUGCUGAAUGUUCACAGGGAAAUCUCUGCCUCGACCACUCAAAAUCAUCUGGAUCCAACACAGAGGAACUUUCUGGUCUUCCAGGACACAUAGUGAGUGAGACCCCCCCCCCUCCCCCAGGCUGCGGACAGAGCACAUCCCCCUGUCAGUGAUGCUUUAGAGGUCAGGACAAUGGGUCAGACAUGGACAAAGGCUUUGUAUCAGGGAAUGAAGCAGACUCACUUCUUCCAUUGGAGCCAGGCAGGGAGAAGAGAGAAAGUCAGUGAAUCAACUGUAGUGUGGUUAGGGCUAGUGGAGGACUGCAGAGAGCUUCACUGAUUCUGCUUUUCUGGAAACUUCCCUCUCAGAGGAGAUGACAUUUGAGUUGGGGCUUAGAGCAUGAGCCAGGGGUCUCUAGAGAGACGGGGUUAUUAAAAACAUUGCUGGUGGUAGAAAGCAAAGCGGAGAGGCGUAGUGGAAGAACCGCUGUGGUCUGAAUUUAGACUGCCCCCUCAGUGCACGUGUUAAAGGCUUGAGCCUUAGCACACCGCUGUUGAGGAGUGGUAGAGCCAGUGGGGCCUGUGGGACCUUGAAGGAGAUUGGGUAGCACUUGUCUCCUUCUUUGACUUCCCAGUUACAGUGUGAUGAACAGGUUCCUCUAACCGCAGGACCCCAUUGUGAUGUGCAGUCUCUCCACAGGCGCCAAGAAAUGAAUAGGCAGUAUCCUCUGAAAAUGUGAGCCACAGCCAACACUCUCCUCCUCACAGAUUGUUCGUCCAAGGUAUUUGUGAGGGAAACUGAAUGCUGAAGCAAAGGGUUGCUCUCUGCGUUCUAUGGCUGGACUACUGAGUCAGAAUCGUCACGGCUAAGGGCAGGGUACAGCCAAUGCUUACUGGACUUUUAACUUGGGCCAGGUGUUGUACAAAGAGACCACUGCAUGUGUCAUCUAAUCCAGUCCUCUCUGUGCUAUUACUAACCGUACUUUGCAGAGAGGUGAGACUGAAGUAGAAAGGUUAAGGAAUUUGUCAUCACCGAUCUAUAUGACAAAACCAGAGGGAGAUCUGGUUCUAGCCAACUUCAAAGCUGACUUUAGCCUCUUUCCAAGAGCCUGGAACAAAGUACUGAGUGGUUUGUGUGCUGCUGAUCUGGGAUUUCCACUUCCUCCUUGAUGUGGGGAUAACCAGGGGGCCACACAGUGGAAGGAGCGGAGAUGAGAGCAUGGGGACAACAGUCACAGAUCCACUCUGUCCCACCUGUAGUACACACCAGAGCCUUCCACAGGGACGCAUGCACAACCCACUGUCCUGCUGCUGCCAAGGCUAAACUUCUCAGGAGCUGCAGGUAUGAUAUAGGGCAGAGGAGUUUUGAUUUUUCAUAGUGGAGCAUUUUUGCCUUAGGAUCCAGCAUGAAUCCACUGGGACCAGGACAACCUGCCAAACAGAUCUGUACUGUACAUGGUCUCUGCUUGCUUGUCCCAUAGGACCUGUCUCAGAACUGAAUUUUUGUCCUCCUUCCAACUCCCCUCUUGAUGCCUAUAAAACCACUAUAUGUAUUUUCUUGUUUGUAAAAGUAACACAUGUCAAUACUGGAGAAAGCUCAAAGAGCAUGAAUACCGAUGUGUAUCAGUUACCCAUCCCUAUGUCACAGAUUAUCUGAAACCUUGCACUGUGAAGCAAACUUAAGUUCUCACAUGGCUUGAGAAUGAGAAAUCUGGGAAUGGCCUAGCUGCUGGUGUCAUGAAGGGCAGCCAGGGGGUAGGUGGAGGCUCUAGUGAUAGGGCGUGGAGAAUUUGCUUUCAGAGGGAUGCUGGCUGGGCCCUUCAUUCUUACACGUAGACUUCUCCCAAGCGCUGCUCAGAACAUGACUUUUCUAAUACCACGCACCAGAGAGUGAACAAAAACAGAACUCACAAGCUCAUUUCAAAUUGACAGUUCAUCACAUAUGCAGCAUUCUGUUGGCCAAACACUGGUCUGAGAAUGAUAUCUUAGGGGUGGGAGUGUUUCUAGCACAGUUCAUCAUCAGUGAUCGCUACUGCUUCUUGUGAAGGUUGCCAACCACAGUGGACACAUUAUAACGUUAUAAUUAACUUAAGUUUGUACCUGGAGUCCCCCUCUUCCUCUCAAAGCAUUGCAAACUGUAAAAGACCACUUGGAGGUCACAGUGAUGGGAGUGUAGUGGUAAGUGGUCGGGACCCCAACAAACUGCCUUCUGAUUGCCUUCCGAGCCCAGGGCACACUGUGUGUGGAGUAGGGAAGGGAAGAGUAAUGGCAAUAGAGUGAAUGUUGUUCUUUUCUCUUAUGGGGAAUUCAUUCCCAGAACACUCUUGGGCUCCUCAUCCCAAUAGUCUGUCAACAGACUCAUAACUGAGAAUGGCCUCAGCUUAAGUCAUCAGAUUCCUGUGGUACCCACACUGACUUCAAGCUUUUUAUACUAAAAAAAAAAAAAUUGUGUGUGUGUGUGUCUGUGUGUGUGUGUGUGUCUGUGUGUGUGUGUGCAUGCACAUGAGUACAGGUGUCUACAGAGGCCAGGGAUACCAGAUACCCCUGGAGCUGGAAUUACAGAUGGUUGUGAGCUAGCUAUCUGAUGUAGGUCCUCUAGCCUGGGCUCCAACCGUUUACCUGGGACAGGCCCUCUGUGCAUAUUUCCAUCAGCUUUAUGGUGAAAACCAUUAGAUGCUCCAUAUCAACCGUCUGAGAGCUGUGACUUCUCAUGAAGCGCCCCUAAGGGAUGAAUGUUGGUUCUUGACUCUAUACGUCAUGCAGAAAGCAGAGACACAAACCAUUUAUAAGCAGCUGCAUAUUGUGUCUGUGGUAUUACAGGUUCACAGGGAAGGUGAUUAGGAGGAGAAUGGCUUAAAGGCUAUUUGGGAAAGCAGUGGUGGAAAAACAGGUUGAAAAACACUUAAGGUCCCGAGAGGCGAAGAGUAAUUACAUAAAUUACAAAAAUAUGGUUUUUGUUCUAUCCACACUUUUUAAUAGAAGACUUCCGUUUAACAGAAAUAUCAGGGAAAAUCAAAUGAAUCUUGAGACUCUGAAUUCAGAACAAGUCACAGAUGUUAAACACAGCAAGGGAGCCCCUUAAAUAGACUGCAUUUGGGGCACUUCAUCCAUCUGAUACUCUGUGGGGAUUUUUAAAUGAAGAUACAGAAAUUCCCCAAAUGGUUUUAUUCGUACUGGUAAUAUUCACUGAAUUUGAAUUGAUAUUAGACAUCUGUGAUCAAUUAGAUUUGGUCAUUGGCUAAUUACAUACAUUUAAAACAUAUCCAAGGCAAAGAUAUUAUAGUCGAGCAUAGUAAUUCAACUAAUAUUAUGAUUGAAAAUAUUCUAAUCUUUUAUCAGUGCAGGGUAGACACAUGAAGGAAUAUUAUUUUAUUUGCACAGUUUAUAAAGAGCUUUGAUAUAAAUUCCUUUUGAUGAUUUGUUCUUCUGAAGAGCCCUGCCGUGUGGAAAUUGUUUCCCUAUUUUCAUUUUAGGCAGAAGGAAGAUGAGGUUCAGCCCUUGACUGAUCCAUCCAAUAUGACUUUACCCCAGACUGGCCAGCCAGGUUCUAGCACCGUUUUCAUCGUCCCCUUCUCUGAAGAAGUAAGCCUAACUGUACUUUUUUUUU